rnacentral:rRNA from 1 species
AUUGAACGCUGGCGGCAGGCCUAACACAUGCAAGUCGAGCGGAUGAAGGGAGCUUGCUCCUGGAUUCAGCGGCGGACGGGUGAGUAAUGCCUAGGAAUCUGCCUGGUAGUGGGGGAUAACGUCCGGAAACGGGCGCUAAUACCGCAUACGUCCUGAGGGAGAAAGUGGGGGAUCUUCGGACCUCACGCUAUCAGAUGAGCCUAGGUCGGAUUAGCUAGUUGGUGGGGUAAAGGCCUACCAAGGCGACGAUCCGUAACUGGUCUGAGAGGAUGAUCAGUCACACUGGAACUGAGACACGGUCCAGACUCCUACGGGAGGCAGCAGUGGGGAAUAUUGGACAAUGGGCGAAAGCCUGAUCCAGCCAUGCCGCGUGUGUGAAGAAGGUCUUCGGAUUGUAAAGCACUUUAAGUUGGGAGGAAGGGCAGUAAGUUAAUACCUUGCUGUUUUGACGUUACCAACAGAAUAAGCACCGGCUAAUU